AACGAACGCUGGCGGCGCGCUUAACACAUGCAAGUCGAACGCGAAAAGCAGUAAUGCUGAGUAGAGUGGCGCACGGGUGAGUAACACGUAAAUGACAUGUCCUCGAGACGGGAAUAACCAGCCGAAAGGCUGGCUAAUACCCGGUAAGCCCACGUCUUUGGAGAUGAGGGAAAAGGGUCGGGAAUUUUCGAAUCCGAUCGCUUGAGGAGUGGUUUGCGGCCCAUCAGGUAGUUGGCGAGGUAAAAGCUCACCAAGCCUAAGACGGGUAGCUGGUCUGAGAGGAUGAUCAGCCACACUGGAACUGAGACACGGUCCAGACUCCUACGGGAGGCAGCAGUGGGGAAUAUUGGACAAUGGGCGCAAGCCUGAUCCAGCAAUACCGCGUGUGUGAAGAAGGCCCUAGGGUUGUAAAGCACUUUCAAUUGGGAGGAAAACCUGCCGGUCAAUACCGGCAGCUUGACAUACCUUUAGAAGAAGCACCGGCUAACUCCGUAGCCAGCAGCCGCGGUAAUC
rnacentral:rRNA from 1 species